ensembl:lncRNA
GAGGCAUUGUGGAUCACAGAUAAGUGAUUGAGAUUUGAGAGCAGAUAGGACAGGACAGCACACAUACUGCAGACAAUGACAAAACAUAUCUGGCAAAAUAUAUCACGUUUGUAUGCUUUUGAUGAGUAUUUUAAAGUUGGAAGGUAUCUAGAAGAACCUACAUAAAUGUACCACUGUACUAACACGUCAGAGCACUUACAACUUUCAUUUUCUUGCAGAGAUUCUGUAAUAGCUUGUCUCUCUGAGAAAAGAGGUAAAACUCAUGUUUAACAGUGACCAAUGAGUUAAUUAGAGAUAUGAGCAUUCUAAAGUUUAUCACAAUUGUAGAUAGGCAACAUUUUGGCAUUGUGACUACAUCUCAACUCCUUAGAGACAAAUAGAACUGUCCACCACUAACAGCGGCUGUGGUGAGCAGGGCUCAUAUAUGUGCUACGCAGAAAAGACAGGACUUUCCCAUGACCUAAAGACACUCAGCAAAAUGACCACAGAUGGUUUAUACCAGAAAAGCUGGAAAAAUUAUAUAAAGUCCUGUGAAAAACCUUAGUUUGGAAAAAAAAUAAGCAGAAGCAAAUAAAUAAGAGGUCACCAGCGAGCUCCAGAUUAAAGGAGGUCUCUCUGAAUCACCCUUUCUGAGAUUUUAGCAUAUGGACUUUCAAAUCACAAAGUUCUGGAGAGAAGAUGAGAACCACAGAACAUAGAGGCGUUCCCAGUUUUCAGGCCCAAGAACCACUGAAGAAGUUAAAUGAUCAUUGCAUCCAUUUCACCUCCCGGUGGAACUCCUCCUUCAAAGUUGUUGUUUCAAGAAAACUAAGUAUUUACAAUCAUGCUAUGUGGUGGGUGCAGCAUUCAAAUGGGACAUCUCAUCACCUGUUUGCCUCUCUGAAGCUCUGAAGGUGUCUUUCCUAGGAAGUUGUCAACGUAAUUAAAUCAGACAAACCUCAGGGUUACCAUUGCUUUUGACAGUGUGGAGUUACAAUGUGACAGACUUUGACUCUGCAGGAGGAUUCCACAGCAGCUUCCAUCAUUUCUAAGCUUCUACUAUACCCAAGCUUCUAUCACACACUAAGCAAUGUGAUCUCCCAUUACACAGCAUACUAAACUCUCUAUACAGGAAAUCAAACUUUCCUACAUUGUACGAACACAUCAUUCGUUUGUUUCGGCUUUCAAGUCUUUAUGCUUUCUUUUAUUUCCACUUGUAUUGCCUGUCAUAUUAUCCUCUUCAACUACCCAGGUUCCUGCCAAACUUAAAAAUUCACUUCCUUGAAAAUGCCUCAAAGGUUAUCUAUGUAUUAUUUUUUAGAGUUUGCUUUCUAUGUGUCACUGUUUCAAUCAUUUUAUGCACAUAUUAUUAUUUCUGACUUCUCAAAAAGAAAGUGGAGAAUAAUUAUUCCUAUUUAAGAGUUGAGAAAAUUUGGCUCAGAGCAGUGAAUAACUUACCUAAGUGUGCACUGGGAGUGAGUGGAGAAACCAGUUUUGAAAGAAUUCAGUCUAAUUUAAAGAUUAAACUCAUUCCUACCUUACUCAUCAUCCUAUCAGGGCUAUAGUGCACACACAUGCACUCACACAUACACAGAAGUGUUCAUGCACAUAAAGUCUUAUAUAACUGAUACAAUUAAUAACACAUUUUUGUUUAAUAAUAACAAUACGUAUAUGUUCUUACAUCACUUUCCUGUGCAAUGGGAUCCAUUUCUCUCAAGAAGGUAUGAAUGACAUUUCCUUAAGCAACUGCAGAGAACCCUCUUAGCAAAUGGAGUGGUCUCUUGGUUAAUAGUGCGGAUUUCAAAAUCAGACUGCAUUCUACCACUAGCAACUUUACAGCAUUGCCAAAGGACUUGGCCUCAGAGCUUCAGUUUUGUCACUUUGAAAUACCAAUAAACUUUUUUGAAAAUUAGUUGAGAUAACACAUGAAAAGAGCAACUAGCAUCGUGCCUGUUACGUGUUAAGCACUCAAUGAAGGUUGGUGUUUAUUAUUUCAGUCUCUUUUAUAUACUGGAUAUCCAAUGCAGAUUGAUGAUUAACUGUUUUCAUUGUUAUGAAAAGGCUUUCAUGAAAGGAAAAGAGCUCUUAGAGAUAUUGGAUGACUCUGAAUGGUGACUCCAGAAUAACAGGACAAGACACUAUAUGGGCUGUAGAAUCAAUCCUAUGAGAGAUCUGGGUAAAGCAUCUUCAGAUAUUGGAAAAGGUAGGGACACCAAGCUCCUCGGGUUUCUAGGCUGGCAGUGAACACAUGGAAAAUUCUAAAUAUGAAAAUGACAGCCUUGUCAGUUUGCUCUUAGAGGCCUGACAAAGACUGCCACAGUCCCUGUCCAUUUCUAGUAAAUCACGGUAACUAAUUCAGCUCCUCCCAAAU